rnacentral:rRNA from 1 species
CCUACGUGAGGCAGCAGUGAGGAAUAUUGGUCAAUGGGCGGAAGCCUGAACCAGCCAAGUAGCGUGCGGGAUGAAGGCCCUACGGGUCGUAAACCGCUUUUGCACGGGGAUAACACCCUCCACGUGUGGAGGUCUGUAGGUACCGUGCGAAUAAGGGUCGGCUAAUUCCGUGCCAGCAGCCGCGGUACUACGGAGGGCCCGAGCGUUAUCCGGAUUCAUUGGGGUUAAAGGGAGCGUAGGCGGGCGUUCAAGUCAGCGGUAAAAUCGGGCGGCUCAACCGCGCCCCGCAGUUGAAACUGGACGCCUUGAGUACACAAGAGGCAGGCGGAAUGCGUGGUGUAGCGGUGAAAUGCAUAGAUAUCACGAAGAACCCCGAGUGCGAAGGCAGCCUGCCGGGGUGCGACUGACGCUGAGGCUCGAAGGUGCGGGUAUCAAACAGGAUUAGAUACCCCAGUAGUC